rnacentral:lncRNA from 1 species
UCUUGGAGGAACAAGGUGCAGACCCUUCACAAGAGCCUGAAGGAAAUCAUCCAAUUAGACUAACAGCUGCAGAGAUUGGAAUAAGCCUUGCAUAUUACAAAAUUAAAGAAAGUGCAGCUGAGUACUAUGGAAAGGAGCUAAGCUUUCUUUGGCUGACAUCAGACUACUUCAUCUUCUCUUUCAAUAGUUAGAAGACUACUUUCAAGGCCAGAAAAACCAUUUACUUCCACUUUGUCCUGGAUUCAGAAAAAAGAGCCUAUCCAGAUAGAUUGCUCAUUCCUCUUGCAUGGAAAAGAAAUGACUUACUCAUUUUUCCUGGCUGAUGCUGCAAUACAUCUUUCCCUAAAAAAGGUUGCAGGACUGACAGGAGCAAAAAAGGAAAAGAUUAAUUGUUGUGAAGUUAUACAUUAAUGCUUGGGAUACAUGAGAAGAAAAAUUAAUGUUUCCGUCUUCCCUGUGAGUGUUAAAGUGGUUAGUAUUAAACAAGGAUGCUCAUAACAGUAAUAACUUUUUUUCCCCUGUUA